UGGGGAAUUUUGGACAAUGGGCGAAAGCCUGAUCCAGCAAUGCCGCGUGUGUGAAGAAGGCCUUCGGGUUGUAAAGCACUUUUGUCCGGAAAGAAAUGGCUCUGGUUAAUACCUGGGGUCGAUGACGGUACCGGAAGAAUAAGGACCGGCUAACUACGUGCCAGCAGCCGCGGUAAUACGUAGGGUCCAAGCGUUAAUCGGAAUUACUGGGCGUAAAGCGUGCGCAGGCGGUUGUGCAAGACCGAUGUGAAAUCCCCGAGCUUAACUUGGGAAUUGCAUUGGUGACUGCACGGCUAGAGUGUGUCAGAGGGGGGUAGAAUUCCACGUGUAGCAGUGAAAUGCGUAGAGAUGUGGAGGAAUACCGAUGGCGAAGGCAGCCCCCUGGGAUAACACUGACGCUCAUGCACGAAAGCGUGGGGAGCAAACAGGAUUAGAUACCCUGGUAGUCCACGCCCUAAAACGAUGUCAACUAGUUGUUGGGGAUUCAUUUCCUUAGUAACGUAGCUAACGCGUGAAGUUGACCGCCUGGGGAGUACGGUCGCAAGAUUAAAAGCUC
rnacentral:rRNA from 1 species